rfam:Triticum aestivum genome assembly, contig: Triticum_aestivum_CS42_TGACv1_scaffold_129383_2BL
CUCAUACUCCCUUCAUCCGAAAAUACUUUUCAUCAAAAUGAAAAAAAAGAUGUAUCUAGAACUAGUUCUAGAUACAUCUCUUUUUAUUCAUUUUGAUGAUAAGUAUUUCAGACGGAGGGAGUAUAAA